CUAUAUGUGGACUCUUAUGUUGCUGGCGUUCCUUUCUUGCUACGCUGCUUCCAAAUUAUGUUCUUGAAGACGGUUCAGAGGUGAAUAAUACUCAAUACUUAGGUGCUUUGUUUUCCUGUGUUCAUGUCAUUCAGGUAAUCUAUUUGACUACUUUUUCAUCUUCCCUACUAUUACCAUGUACUUGCAGUUCCAUUCAGCAUGUACCGUUGGCACGGCAUCUCCUUGCUCCUUGUUGCUAUGUUCUUGUUGUUUCUAAUUCCUUUUGUUGUUAACUUGUAUGCUUUUCUUUUCUUCUGCCUGCUUGUGUGUCUUUCGUCAUGUGUUGUGAAGAGAAAGGGUGUACAACUGUGUCACCUCAUCGACUCCAGAGAUUCUUGUACAUUCACCUGACUAGCAGUUUGAUUGUGCCCGGUUUCAGGGAGUGAGCUGCCAGUGUGACCUUAUAAAGGAAGGUUCCAGGGAGUUAGCUGCCAAUGUGAACUCAUAAAAGAAAGAGUUAAUUUUAUUUUUUGCAGGAAAUAUUGUUUGAUCCUUCCAGUCGAUCCUGAGAAAUCCUGGAUCGACAUGCCGACGGUGUGGAUGCCCUAAAUGCGUUAGAGUGGUUCCCUCUAUGAGGGAGAGAGAGGUUGCUAAUCUUGGAUCUUGAUGAUUAGUCAGAAGUUCGGAUCGAUGAUCUUCUUGACGGAAAGGUUUGAGACUUCUACUAGAACUGCAACCUCUCUGGACUUUGCAUGACCCUGAGCCCUCCAAAUUCAGCGCUGUGGAGGUGGUCUGAGUGAUAUGUGUCACGCUCAUCUGCACCCAUGGAUUGCCUCACGGACGACCGGCCAAGUCGAGCGUGAUCUCAGUGCUCAAGGUCACGGGAGAUGCUAACAUGGCCAGGAAUGAGGACAUCAAGCACAGCAACACAACGGAGAGGCAGGUGAAAUGUUGGGAUUAUGGGAAUAAGCCGCCAAGUCAGCCCGUUGACACAUUAGUCUUCCCGUGUCCAUGCUGGGAUGGCGUAGUGAAGGGCAUGAACUGAUAUGUCAUCUAGCUUUUCAGCGUCAGGCAACACAAAGGCGAAUAAGACUGUGUUGUUGUCUACAUACUAUUUUUCUUUCCUCCUUGUUUUGGGGCUAAGCUUGCAUUGUACUUACGGCUGGUAUAUGUGAUACUCUUGAGGGGUCUGUUACUAUCGUGAGGCAACUAUAUUUGUUGUCAA